rnacentral:misc_RNA from 1 species
GAUGAAGAACGUAGCGAAAUGCGAUAAGUAAUGUGAACUGCAGAAUUCAGUGAAUCAUCGAAUCUUUGAACGCACAUUGCGCCCGCCAGUAUUCUGGCGGGCAUGCCUGUUCGAGCGUCAUUACAACCCUCAGGCCCCCGGGCCUGGCGUUGGGGAUCGGCGGAGCCCCCCGUGGGCACACGCCGUCCCCCAAAUGCAGUGGCGGUCCCGCCGCAGCUUCCAUCGCGUAGUAGCUAACACCUCGCGACUGGAGAGCGGCGCGGCCACGCCGUAAAACACCCAACUCUUCUGAAGUUGACCUCGAAUCAGGUAGGAAUACCCGCUGAACUUAAGCAUAUCAAUAAGCGGAGGA